CAGUGGGGGCGUGUGUGAGCUCUGAUGGACAGCUCGGAUUGGUCAUGUGACCAAUCCAGGAAGUGAAGAAAGGCAGACACCGGUGCUGAGCUGCUUGGCAAGGGAGGAGGGAAAUGGAGACCUGCAGUGCCAGCAGCAACAGCCACCCAUGCACAGAGACUGGGACAUUGCCUAAAAAGUACCUUAUACAAGAAGUGUAUUGUGGCAGAUCUACAGGAAAAGGAUAUUAGGAUUCUACACUCUUAAUAGAAGUUCUUUGUCAUAAUUCUGAAGAGGCAGACCUCUAUCAUGGCCAAUGUGAUUUCCGGGUGCAUGACAUCGACAAAACUACCAUACCCAGAAUGCCUGCGGCAUAGAUGACAACUUCCUGUGGCUGAUUUGCACAGAAAAAAUGUCAUCCUCCUUAAUAGGAGCGGACGCCAUGCGGAGGAAGGGAACCAGGUUGCCUGCGCACACCGGGGGACAACAUUCUGAACAACCCGGUAUGGAGAACGGCCCUACUUCCGGCGAAUGUGCUCAAAGUAUGGACUACAUUUCCCAUAAUUACCGGGACUAUGACGACUUCCGGUCGGCGUCGUUUUACAGAGAAACAUUGUAUUUAACUGUUUUCUUUGAGCCCUGUAUAAUGUCACAACAUGUUUGAAUGCUGUGGGGAUAAACUGAUUUUGUGCCUUUACUUAAUAAUGUGUUAUGGGGGAGAAAUCUAAUUCUGUUUACAAAUUAAGCCUGUGAGGUCAAUGCCUGCUGGCUAUUGCCAGAGAUCAUUUCCUGUCUCAUGGUAAUUGGUUAUAGGGGGUAUAAAUAUCAAGCUUCUGCACACUCCAUUAUGUCUUGAUAAAGGUUAUUUACCGAAACGCGUUGACACAGGAGUGUGAGUAGCUUCAUACUAUCCAUUUGAUGUUCUUUUUUAUCUUUUCAUGUGUUCUAGAUAUUUUUUGUUAGAUGCUGGUCUAACUUUUUAACUUUG